GAUGAACGCUGGCGGCGUGCCUAAUACAUGCAAGUCGAGCGAACAGACGAGGAGCUUGCUCCUCUGACGUUAGCGGCGGACGGGUGAGUAACACGUGGAUAACCUACCUAUAAGACUGGGAUAACUUCGGGAAACCGGAGCUAAUACCGGAUAAUAUAUUGAACCGCAUGGUUCAAUAGUGAAAGACGGUUUUGCUGUCACUUAUAGAUGGAUCCGCGCCGCAUUAGCUAGUUGGUAAGGUAACGGCUUACCAAGGCAACGAUGUGUAGCCGACCUGAGAGGGUGUUCGGCCACACUGGAACUGAGCCACGGUCCAGACUCCUACGGGAGGCAGCAGUAGGCAAUCUUCCGCACUGGGCGAAAGCCUGACGGAGCAACGCCGCGUGAGUGAUGAAGGUCUUCGGAUCGUAAAACUCUGUUAUUAGGGAAGAACAAAUGUGUAAGUAACUAUGCACGUCUUGACGGUACCUAAUCAGAAAGCCACGGCUAACUACGUG
rnacentral:rRNA from 1 species